UGUUCCCUGCUGUGUUCGACCGGGCUCUAAUUUUCCGAACCGAUAGCUUCCUUAGGUUGCGGCCCCUAGCGUCACCGUUGUGAUCGUCCCGCCUCCGGGCGCCGGACGAACCUGAGGUGACCGGUAAGCGACCACCCUUGCAAGCGCAGGGUUCGGGAGCAGAGCCCACCGGCAUGCGCGGGGGACAC
rnacentral:other from 1 species